AAAAUUUAUUAUUUAAAUUUAAAAUCUUUAAAUUAGUUGAGAUAAACUCUAGAUUUCUCAGGCAAAAUCCCAUCAGGGUAAAUGAGAAUUUUGCAGCUGAUUUCUGGGAAGCUAGGUUUUUACUUGACUUCUUUGCUUUUUAAGUUUCUAAGAUUUAAAUUUCUGUUCUCUUGUUCUAAUUUGCUGCAUUCUCCUUUUCAGUUUCUAUACAUUAAGUCAUCUAGAUCAGUGGAAUACAAAGAUGCUUUCUUCAAGGUGACUUCCAUGCUACUGAAAGCAAUCACUUUCUUCCUACAAAUACACCUCCCAGUGAUCAGGAACUCUUCCUUCCUGAUCCUGCAACACACGACAAAGGAUCAAGUUCCUUUGACUUCACCAGGAGCCCACCAGAAGAAUUUUCUCCUUACUAGAGAAGUUCACUAAAUUUAUUCCCUUGCCAGGACUAAAGAACUUUUAAUAUUUCUAUCUCUAAUGGAGUAUUUGUUCUUUUACUAGACAUUUUCCUUUACUUGGUUGCUGAUUUUCAUAGAGAAAAAUAUUUUUUUUUUACAAUUUAAUUUGAAAACUGGUUAUGUAUCCUUUAUUUCAUGUUAUCCAAUCACAUUGUAUUAGUGAAUAAUUUUUCCUUUUUUAAAUCAUACUCAAGAGUGUCUUUAAAACAAGUCUCUCAUGAAGAAAAUUAUCACUUUCACCUCUUUCCUUCUCAGAAACAGUUUCAUUUAACUAUUUUAUCAAAUACUGUUUCACAAGAGAUUAGUGUAGCAUUUUUUAUAUGUAAAAAAGUUACCUCUGCCUGGGUAAAUCAGUUCAAAACCUGGCUGAGCAGUAAACCAAGUAAAUCUAUUAAUUCCUGACAUCCUAAUUUCCAUUUUAGAACUGUCUGAGCAGCAGUAAAUGCAUACUUUUAGCUACAUGAAUGUUUCAUUAGAAUGACCUGGUUGAUCAGUUCAUCAUCUGGACACGAUGUGGUCCAGAUGAUCUUCCUGACCCUUUUUGGUUUUUUUUGCCCUCUCUCAGCAUGAUUCUCAGGUUAGUUGAGAUUUAUCAUGUAGACUGGUCAAAUCAGCACACCAACUGACUCCAGGGCAGGAAGAACUACAGUAAAAAGAAGAUUUUUAUCUGAGGAAUUUAUCCUGACUGUGCCCCUCCAGGCUACUUCCAAAAGGAUUGUUGUUGCUGCUGCCUGCUGCUUGCACCAGUGUGCCUACCUAAGGGAAUCUCCAACUAACAUAAAUUCUUCAGCCCAAUCUCAAAACACUCCUGACAGAGAAAGAAACAGAUCAUGACAGAUUUUCAGCUGCAUUUUUCUUCUUUGCUUUAAGCAUCAGAAACCACUACAUGUCUGAAUCUUAAGGAUAUUUACUUAUGCACUUAUGUACUUUUCUCCAUUGUACUGCCCUUAGACUUCACUCAAAUAGCACUGCAGGAUGCUGCUGCAGUAUAUAAUGUAAACCUGUAAGAAGAUGGCUCCUACUCCACAGAGUGCAAACAAGUUCUCUCUGUCCAUUCUCAUGACAAAUUACCUUUGGAGUUUAUAUGGGCAAUUUUCAUCACCUCAGAUGAAGGCAUUGAUGGGCCUAGCAUAUGCUUAUUCACAGAGGGAACCAUGAGCUGACCAAAUAACAGGCAGCAUACAAAAGCUUAGUACUGUAACAUUUGGUGUAUGGAUUUUUCAAGUGUCACAGUGGCUGUUGAGCCUAGGAAGAAUGUAGCACAGAUUGUCCCUUAUUUCACUGAUAAAAAGAAACUUUUUAGUUCCAUAAGUAAUACAUUAAUAUUUGCUUUAUGUAUGACUUCUGUGCAAAUUGACAAACUGAUAAAUUCUAUAUGGCAAGUGAUUUCACUUUACCUUGUUGAACUAUGUACUUUUUAGUACUCUUAGAUUACACAUCCUUGCAAACACAAGUUACCAGAGAGAAUGUUUAAGAUACAGUUCUGCUGUGGCUGCAGGCUUCUGGAGGGGAAAACCAAAUGCAAUUAUCCUCUUGCUAAUGGCACCACUCUGACCAUAGGAACAGUGCAGUGCUGCUCAUAGGUGUGGUGCUGCAGUGUCACAGCCAUGCAAUAUUCUGGCAUGGGUUGUCUUUGACAUGGGCAAACUAUUAUUCUAUAUUACGCAGAAGACAGUGGACAGGAAAUCUGUCCUCUUAGAAAUCAGCAAAAACAUUUCAUCUGAAUCCUCAAGAGAAACAAUAUCACCUGCAGAAAUGAACAAGACAAUGAAAACUGACUCAUAUCCCAAGGAAUUAAAUCUACAGAAACAUACAGCAAAAUUGUCAAGAAACAAUGAUGCCGUUCUUUCUUGCCCAGAAGUUUGAAUGUUUCUUCUGGCCUUUAAGACCAUUUCAAACAAAAUAAACAAGGAAAGGGACAAAAUUUUACUUGUUUC
ensembl:lncRNA